AACUUAGCAGAGAUGCUUUGGUGCCUUCGGGAACUCUGAGACAGGUGCUGCAUGGCUGUCGUCAGCUCGUGUUGUGAAAUGUUGGGUUAAGUCCCGCAACGAGCGCAACCCUUAUCCUUUGUUGCCAGCGAUUCGGUCGGGAACUCAAAGGAGACUGCCAGUGAUAAACUGGAGGAAGGUGGGGAUGACGUCAAGUCAUCAUGGCCCUUACGAGUAGGGCUACACACGUGCUACAAUGGCAUAUACAAAGAGAAGCGACCUCGCGAGAGCAAGCGGACCUCAUAAAGUAUGUCGUAGUCCGGAUUGGAGUCUGCAACUCGACUCCAUGAAGUCGGAAUCGCUAGUAAUCGUGGAUCAGAAUGCCACGGUGAAUACGUUCCCGGGCCUUGUACACACCGCCCGUCACACCAUGGGAGUGGGUUGCAAAAGAAGUAGGUAGCUUAACCUUCGGGAGGGCGCUUACCACUUUGUGAUUCAUGACUGGGGUGAAGUCGUAACAAGGUAAGCGUAGACGU
rnacentral:rRNA from 1 species